rnacentral:lncRNA from 1 species
CACAUUCAGUUGACAUCCCAGGUGGGUGAGCAGUGAAAGAUAAUCUGUUCCAACUGUAGCCAAUCUGUAAGCUAACUAGUGGAUAAUAGGGUAAUUAUCUCUCCCCAGAGGUUGAACUGGAGAUACAGAGAAUUAAGUCAGAGGACUGAAUGUUACUGCAACUGAGAAUAAUCUAACACAGAUGAAUAUUCAUAGAAUGAACACCUGAAUGUUUGUUAUUCUUCAUAUUGCUGUCUUACUUUAGGACAAGAAUUAUGCUUUAUAUCUCCUUCCUUUCUCUAAAAUGUAAACAUUUUUGUACUUUCUGGUGAAACUUUCUAGAAGAUAAUUUGAAGACACAGCUCUCCUCUGGUAUGGAUCAUGUGAUUUUCCAAAACCAUGACUCAAACAUAUUUGGCCAUUCAUAGCAAGUACUUUAUAAGCUCAAACAACUUGAGCCUUUAAGUAAAGUAAGAAGGGGACAAACUUCGCAUUGCGCUAGAUAUCUUUUGUGGGCUAUUCUGUGAAAAUCGCUCCCCUUUAGGAUUAUUCUUCAAAAACACCCAUUAAGCCACAUGACAACUUAAAGGCCUACUAAAACCAGCUGACAUAAGAAAUAGUUCUUACUCAUUUUAACAAAACCAUAGAUUA